rnacentral:tRNA from 1 species
GCAUUCGUGGUGUAGUGGUCAGCACGCUGGGCGCGAAUCCAGAGGUCCGUGGUUCGAGUCCCGGCUAAGGCA